rnacentral:rRNA from 1 species
UACAGAGGGGGCAAGCGUUGUUCGGAAUUACUGGGCGUAAAGGGCGCGUAGGCGGCCUGUUAAGUCGAACGUGAAAUCCCCGGGCUCAACCCGGGAACUGCGUCCGAUACUGGCAGGCUUGAAUCCGGGAGAGGGAUGCGGAAUUCCAGGUGUAGCGGUGAAAUGCGUAGAUAUCGGGAGGAACACCAGUGGCGAAGGCGGCUACCUGGGCCGGUAUUGACGCUGAGGCGCGAAAGCCAGGGGAGCAAACGGG